rnacentral:rRNA from 1 species
UACGUAGGGGGCUAGCGUUGUCCGGAAUCACUGGGCGUAAAGCGCACGUAGGCGGACUCUUAAGUCGGUGGUGAAAUCCUGGAGCUCAACUCCAGAACUGCCUUCGAUACUGAGAGUCUCGAGUCCGGGAGAGGUGAGUGGAACUGCGAGUGUAGAGGUGAAAUUCGUAGAUAUUCGCAAGAACACCAGUGGCGAAGGCGGCUCACUGGCCCGGUACUGACGCUGAGACGCGAAAGCGUGGGGAGCAAACAGG